CCCUUAGAUGUCCUGGGCUGCACGCGCGCUACACUGACACGUUCAGCAAGUUUCCUAUUCCGAAGGGAAAAGGUAAUCUUUUGAAAUCGUGUCGUGAUGGGGAUAGAUUAUUGCAAUUAUUAAUCUUCAACGAGGAAUUCCUAGUAAGUGUAAGUCAUCAGCUUGCACUGAUUACGUCCCUGCCUUUUGUACACACCGUCCGUCGCUCCUACCGAUUGAGUGAUCUGGUGAAUAAUUCGGACUGCGCUUGUGGGCAACCAUUUGUGCGGGAAGUUUAGUGAACCUUAUCACUUAGAGGAAGGAGAAGUCGUAACA
rnacentral:rRNA from 1 species